rnacentral:tRNA from 1 species
GGGGGUAUAGCUCAGUGAUAGAGUGCAUGCCUGACAUGCACAAGGUCCUGGGUUCAAUCCUCAGUACAAUCA